AGUGAACGCUGGCGGUAGGCCUAACACAUGCAAGUCGAACGGCAGCACAGUAAGAGCUUGCUCUUACGGGUGUCGAGUGGCGGACGGUUGACGUAUACAUCGGAAUCUACUUUUUCGUGGGUGAUAACGUAGGGAAACUUAUGCUAACACCGCAUACGUCCUACUUGUGAAAGCAGGGGUUCUUCUGACCUUUUGCGAGUGAAUGAGCCUAUCUCGGAUUAGCUUGUUGGCGGGGCCAAGGCCCACAUAGGCGACGAUCCGUAGCUGGUCUGAGAGGAUCAACCGACAGCUUGUAAGUGAGACACGGCCGACACUCCUACGGGAGGACGCAGUCGGGACUAUUGGACGAUGGAGGAAAGGGUGAUACAGGAAUACGGCGUGAGUGAAGAAGGAGCUAGGGUUGUAAAGUGCUUUUGUUGGGAAAGAAAAACAGCAGGUUAAUACCGGGCUGUAAUGACGGUACCGAAAGAAUAAGCACCGGCUAACUUCGUG
rnacentral:rRNA from 1 species